rnacentral:lncRNA from 1 species
GUUGGAAAGCUUGUCCCUUAGUACAAUCCAGAAUAGCAGGUUUUCUGUGCAUUGGGACCACUCUGGCUGAAGGGAUUAUGCCCACUCUUUGAAGAACUGUCCUGUUUGAGCAUGUCCAGGGAAUUGCUGCCUCCUGAAUCCUGAUUCAUUCAGAUGAGUGUUACCUGUUUGCAGUGUGGAUCAAAGUUCUUCUCAGGGAUAAAAUGUGAGAAUCCUUACUGAGGACUGAAGAAGCAUGGAAGAAGCAC